AGAAUUAAUGAAACAUUGGGCUUAAUCCGGAUUUUGGUUGUGGACUUGAAGAGGGCAAAUAAAGCAGCGCUUACCUUAGUUAAUUUCUAAUUAGGAAAUUUCGCAAUUUUAUUUUAUGUGGUUCAGUGUUUAUUUCGUUUUGGGCCAGAGUAUUGUAAUAGGGCCCAAUGACUUUGAGUGACUCUUUUUAAAUAGCAGCCUUGGG
rnacentral:lncRNA from 1 species